GUGGGGCACAGACGGUGGACGGUCCCAGUCGGUGACCUGACCUCGCCCGAGGCUGUCCCGGGUCAGUCCUCUGGUGGUGGAGGGUCCAGACGAGGCGCAAACGGCCGCGAGUGCUGGUUUGUGCCGGGACGGCCGAACGGGCUGGGCGUGUGUGCAACUCUAACGUGUGGCAUCGGGAGGCUGUCAGCUCUGGCUUUGUGAGCCCUUUGCGAGAGCUUCGCCGAGUGGGUGAGAUGGAAAAAGAAGACCUUGCAAAGGAAGGAGGCGGCGCCGCCGACAAGAAGGAUGACGACAGCAAGGGCGUCAAGCUGCAGGCCAAGAUGAGUCUGCUCAAUGGAAUCACGGUCAUCGUGGGCUCCAUCAUCGGCUCCGGCAUCUUCAUCUCGCCGACUGGCGUGCUGGAGAACACGGGCAGCAUCAAUCUCUCGCUGGUUGUCUGGGUAGCCUCGGGCGUUUUCUCCAUGGUGGGCGCCUACUGCUAUGCCGAGCUCGGCUGCAUGAUCAACAAGUCUGGCGCCGACUACGCCUACAUUAUGGACACCUUCGGCCCCUUCCUGGCGUUCAUGCGACUCUGGGUGGAGUGCAUGAUCGUCCGACCGUGCUCGCAGACGGUCGUGGCUCUGACGUUCUCCGUCUACGCCCUGAAGCCGUUCUACCCGACCUGCGAGCCGCCGUACACCAGCGCUGCGCUCCUGGCUGCCGUCAGCAUCUGCGUGCUGACGUUCGUCAACUGCUACAGCGUGACGUGGGCUACGCGCGUGCAGGACAUCUUCACCUUCGCCAAGCUGCUGGCCCUGGUCAUUAUCAUCAUCACCGGCAUCUACAUGCUGGCUCUGGGAGAGACUGCUAACUUCACCUGGGACAAUACUCAGACGGAUGUCACCAAGAUCGCUUUAUCAUUCUACUCGGGCUUAUUUGCAUAUAAUGGCUGGAACUACCUGAACUUCAUCAUUGAAGAGCUGAAGGAUCCUGUCCGUAACCUGCCGCGCGCCAUCGCCAUCUCCAUCAUCUUGGUGACGCUGGUGUACGUGCUGACCAACAUCGCCUUCUACACCACCCUCAGCCCCAUGGAGGUGCUCUCCUCCAACGCUGUCGCCGUGAGUUUCGCUCAGGUGCACUACGGCUACAUGGCGUGGAUAAUUCCGAUGUUUGUGGCCAUGUCCACCUUCGGAGGCCUCAACGGUAUCCUGCUCACCAGCUCCAGAUUGUUCUAUGCCGGAGCUCGCGAGGGCCAGAUGCCAGAGAUUCUGACCAUGAUCCAGGUCAACCGGCUGACCCCGGCCCCCGCUGUCCUAUUCGUGGCUCUGCUCUCGCUCGUAUACCUGACGUCAUCUGAUAUUUUCGCCCUCAUCAACUACGUCGGUUUCGCGACAUGGCUGAGCAUUGGCGCUGGCGUGCUCUGUCUGCCCGUGCUGCGCUGGACGCAGCCCAACCUGGUCAGACCCAUCCGCGUCAACCUCUUCUGGCCCAUCAUCUACAUCAUCGCCACCAUCUUCAUCACUAUCAUGCCGAUGAUCGCCAAGCCCGUUGAGACAGGGUUCGGCCUCAUCAUCAUUUUGAGCGGCGUGCCCGUCUACCUAGUGUGCAUUGCGUGGAAGAAGAAGCCAGCAGUUAUCAACAAGUCAAUCGCGGCGGCCACGCGUCAGGUUCAGAAGCUAAUGAUGGUGGUCGGGGAGGAAUAGCAGACACACUGUUUGACCCGCGGUCAUCCGACCGGCCGCGCGCUGGGGAGAGCCGCCCAUCGGUGAGCCUUCACUCGUCUCCUGCAGAAGGUCCUGGUUGUGCUUCCCGAGAACCAGUGAUAACAUGACACACACACACGUCUUCUCUCUCGUCGGCGGCCAUGUUUUCGGCGGCACGCGCUGCCGUCCUACGACGGUACCGGCAAGUUCAGCGCCCUCUAUACAAUCUGGUCGAGCACAUCAGAGACAUCUAGCGUCCAAGCGACGCCAUGGCUUAGCUAGUGUUAGCGGUCAGUGUUGAUGUCUUCCGGCGUGCGGGCUGUCAGUGUCUCCUCCCGGUAGCCGAGGACGUUGUGCUGGUAGUGGCCCAAGGUCGUUCGUCGAUAUGUCAUAUGUUAAUCUGUGCCGUUGACAGGUAGUUCACCAUGUCGGUGGCCUGUACGCGGAGAUUGCGCAGUCAAAAAUGGCUAAAUUCUAGGACUGCGCUCUCUGUGGAGUGAACUUUAGCCAAUGUUGGUGUGUGUCGCGGCGUAUGCAUGGUUAGUUGGGUAGGUGGCGCUCUUGUCGUUGCCGUGACGGCUGUGCCAUGGGAGGGGCACCAGCGCACACUGGUCGGAAACGCCCUCACGAGAGGCCACGGGCGAUUCCGGAGUUUCGGAUUAUUUUUUAUAUAGAUCGAUUUGAAAAUGAUCAAAUUAUUAUACUUAGGCCAAAAAAACUAAUCCGGGUGACCAAAAAUAGCUGUAAUCAGCCCCCGAAGAUGGGGUAUCCCAGAACUCGGAAACUGACGCGGAGCAAGAGGUUUCUUGAGCCGGAUAUUCAAAGUCUUAUUGCUGAUAGACACCAAAUUGAAAUCCCACAUAUUAUGCAUCAAAAUGUUCGUUAUGAAGUUGCCGACUGGUCAGUGCAAAAUUUUUGGUAUACUUUUUCCCUAACUAAGAUGUACUAUAGCUUUUUAUGAAGGCUCUCCUACAGUGAUUCUGGAAUAUAACUGCAAAGUUUAGGUAAGGAAACAACAGGUAGUCCCAUCUAGUUCCACUCUGAUUUUUUGUGAGAUGAAGUAGAAUUUAAAUUUACACCAGGGCAACAUAAAAGCUAACUGCGCAUAUUUGCGCAAAAUUUGCAGGAGCCGCUAUUCCUACCCGAUUACCGCCCGCCCCGCCCCAGUUUCGGCUCGGCCGCCGCGCCCGGCUUACGCUGACCUGUGUGGCCUGCACGCAUCCAUGCGUAGUUGACUGGACAUUAAAAACAGAUGCGCUUGAGUUUAUGAAUUGUGAAAAGCGCGUUUUAUGUAUGCAUUUAUGUAUGUAUUGACAUCAAAAGCCUUCCACAUUUUGCGUGGCGAUUACGGCUUGCAUUUAGAGAGCCUUGCUAUUGACAACCAUCACUCGGCUGAAGAAAGUGGAAAUUGAAACCUUCGUGAAUAUAAGACGCUGCAAAUAUAGGACACCUGUCACUGACGUCGGGUUACCUUGGGCCGUCUUUUAACAUUAGAUCACAAUUCCGGUAUUUAACCCUG